rnacentral:rRNA from 1 species
ACGAACGCUGGCGGCAGGCUUAACACAUGCAAGUCGAACGCUCGUGGCAACACGGGAGUGGCGGACGGGUGAGUAACGCGUGGGAACGUGCCCUGAGGUUGGGAAUAACUGCGGGAAACUGCAGCUAAUACCCGAUGAGCCCCCAGUGAUGGGGGGAAAGAUUUAUCGCCUUGGGAGCGGCCCGCGUCGGAUUAGCUGGUUGGUGGGGUAACGGCCUACCAAGGCUUCGAUCCGUAGCUGGUCUGAGAGGACGAUCAGCCACACUGGGACUGAGACACGGCCCAGACUCCUACGGGAGGCAGCAGUGGGGAAUCUUGCGCAAUGGGGGCAACCCUGACGCAGCCAUGCCGCGUGAACGAUGAAGGCCUUAGGGUUGUAAAGUUCUUUUGCCCGUGACGAUGAUGACGGUAACGGGAGAAUAAGCUCCGGCUAACUUCGUGCCAGCCGCCGCGGUAAU